rnacentral:misc_RNA from 1 species
AGCGAUGGAUAAAUUUAUAUCAAGGAAGGAAUACGCCCUUCAACCGAUCCAUUUUGCCGCAGACUUACUAAACCCUCGGUCUGUUGGUGCAAAUUUAUCAUCAGCCGAAAGGAUUGAAGCGAUGAAAUACAUUACUACUAUGUCAACCACGACCACGAUAGAGAUUGGUGAUGAAGGAGUGUCAAAGAUUACUGAGGAUUUAGGAAACUAUUUAGCUAAAACAGACUUUUUUGGCGAAACAUUUUUAUGGAACAUACUCGAUAAUGUCUCUUUGGUUACAUGGUGGAAAGGAUUUUGUGGACAUUCAUGCCUCUCCAAAGUUGCAGUCAGGAUAUUGACAAUGCCGUGCACUUCUGCGGCAACAGAGAGAAGCUUUAGCUCCCAGAGCAGCAUUCAUACGAAGAGAAGAAAUCGCCUAACAACUCAAAGGGCAGCAAAUUUAAAUUAUAUACAAUAUAAUUCAAAAUUGCUGAAACGUUCACGACAACAUCACAUACAAAGUCAAUAUCCUAUAGAAGAGACUGUACAGAACAACGUUUCGAUAGAAGGUAGAAACUUACAGAAGGAGAUAGAAGUAAUUGAAAACCAUAUUUCCGAAGAGGAAGAAUUAGACGAGGUAAUUUUAAAUUUAGGCAUUUUUUAGAUAUGUGAUAUGUGCAUGUGAUAUAUGCAGUUUGCUUCUUUUCCGAUUUUCCAAUGCAUUCCACCGUUUUCGAAUAAAAAAUUAUAAAUCUUAUGUUUUCAGACAAUAUCAUCAUGGCAUUCAAAUACAACAGGAAAUGGAAAUUCCGACGAUGAUUUUAAUUUUGCUGACUUUGCAAUGACCGAUGAUGAAAUUGAUCAAAGAAUGGAAACUAGGGAACAGAGACCAGCACGCAUUUUGAGACAAAGCAAAGUGAACAUUUUAGAAAACGUCUUAAUGAAAUCGGGUAAAGGCACAGAACAA